AGAACGAACGCUGGCGGCAUGCCUAACACAUGCAAGUCGAACGAGACCUUCGGGUCUAGUGGCGCACGGGUGCGUAACGCGUGGGAAUCUGCCCUUAGGUACGGAAUAACAGUGAGAAAUUACUGCUAAUACCGUAUGAUGUCUUCGGACCAAAGAUUUAUCGCCUAGGGAUGAGCCCGCGUUGGAUUAGCUAGUUGGUGGGGUAAAGGCCUACCAAGGCGACGAUCCAUAGCUGGUCUGAGAGGAUGAUCAGCCACACUGGGACUGAGACACGGCCCAGACUCCUACGGGAGGCAGCAGUGGGAAUAUUGGACAAUGGGCGAAAGCCUGAUCCAGCAAUGCCGCGUGAGUGAAGAAGGCCUUCGGGUUGUAAAGCUCUUUUACCCGGGAAGAUAAUGACUGUACCGGGAGAAUAAGCCCCGGCUAACUCCGCGCCAGCAGCCGC
rnacentral:rRNA from 1 species